GAGCGGAUAAAAAGGGUCCGAGAAAAAUGAAAAAUUUUUGGGCAUAGCCAGUUGAUACAGCUUUAGAUGGGAAGAUUAUUUAUGUCUCGGUUCUAAAAGUGAUGGUUUAUAAGUUUUCGUGACACCGAUGUGGGAGCAUCUAACAUCGCGUGUCUCCCCUUGGGGCGCAUCGCGACACGUCGGAUAUGUUUGUGGACUAGUUCAAUGAUUACACAAAAAUACAUAAAUUUCCGAAGGAAACGAACA